rnacentral:rRNA from 1 species
GGGGAUAAUACUGGAUAGGCAAUUUUUCCUGUAAUGGUUUAUUGUUUAAAUGUUUUUUCGCCUAAGGAUGGGUCUGCGGCCGAUUAGGUAGUUGGUUAGGUAACGGCUUACCAAGCCAUUGAUCGGUACGGGUUGUGAGAGCAAGAGCCCGGAGAUGGAACCUGAGACAAGGUUCCAGGCCCUACGGGGUGCAGCAGGCGCGAAACCUCCGCAAUGUGAGAAAUCGCGACGGGGGGAUCCCAAGUGCCAUUCUUAACGGGAUGGCUUUU